rnacentral:rRNA from 1 species
UACGAAGGGGGCUAGCGUUGCUCGGAAUCACUGGGCGUAAAGCGCACGUAGGCGGAUUGCUAAGUCGGGGGUGAAAUCCUGGAGCUCAACUCCAGAACUGCCUUUGAUACUGGCGAUCUCGAGUCCGGGAGAGGUGAGUGGAACUGCGAGUGUAGAGGUGAAAUUCGUAGAUAUUCGCAAGAACACCAGUGGCGAAGGCGGCUCACUGGCCCGGUACUGACGCUGAGGUGCGAAAGCGUGGGGAGCAAACAGG